AUUGAACGCUGGCGGCAUGCCUUACACAUGCAAGUCGAACGGUAACGCGCCUUCGGGUUGCGAUGAGUGGCGAACGGGUGAGUAAUACAUCGGAACGUGCCCGAUCGUGGGUUAUAACGAGGCGAAAGCUUUGCUAAUACCCGAUACUAUCUACGGAUGAAAGCGGGUGACCGCAAGGCCUUGUGGGGACGGAGCGGCCGAUGUCGGAUUAGGUAGUUGGUGGGAUAAAGGCUUACCAAGCCGACGAUCUGUAGCUGGUCUGAGAGGAUGAUCAGCCACACUGGAACUGAGACACGGCCCAGACUCCUACGGGAGGCAGCAGUGGGGAAUAUUGGACAAUGGGCGCAAGCCUGAUCCAGCCAUGCCGCGUGGAGGAUGAAGGCCUUCGGGUUGUAAAGUGCUUUUGUACGGAACGAAAAGCAUUCUUUUAAUACAGGACGGUUAUGACGGUACCGUAAGAAUAAGCACCGGCUAACUACGUG
rnacentral:rRNA from 1 species